GCAUUCCAACCCUGAUUCAGUUCAUAUCCGUCGACCAAGAGAGCCAAUCAUCACACUUCAUGGUCACCACUGAUAAACAAGGGAACAGAGACCCCCAAGCAUCUCUCAUCCUUUCUAUUGUCAAAUGGUCUGUAAUACCUGAACUUCAAGCUAGAGACGCAGUGUCCCAUGGUCCCACCAUAAUGUUGAAUGAUGGAAUCCUAAAAAGGGGUCAAACAGUUAGUGGGAUGGACUUCCACGUGAUCAGUUUGACAAGCUUGUGGACAAAAAAAAUGUUCAGAAUCUGAAUUUUUGGUUCGAUCUAUCUAUUUCCAUCCACCUUGCAAACUUAUGCACAUACAGCGCAAUUUACUCAAAUUUCAAAAUGUGGUGGACCUUUAUUAUGGGUGUGUCUAACAAACAGCCGUCUGAUUUUUAUUUGGACUUAGGUCGCUUUUUUAAGCCAAUUGCAAUGUGCCAGCUGUAGUACAUCUGUAUGUACGUUCCACAUCUCCCCGCUCUAACGGCCCCCAAAAACUUAAAUGGGUUUGGACUUUGAAAGUUGAAAAAACUGAACCGAACAUCAGGCUGUCUCUUUUUCACAUACAGAGGCUGGGAGAUGGAUGACACAUAGAGUAACAUAAAGAGUCCCCUCUUUAAAAAAGCUCUGACUCUUCUUCUAGCUCAAAUGUGAUGUAAAACAAAAAAAACAAAAAAAUACAGAAAAACAUGUACGUGAUGAGAAGAAAAUAGUAAAAGAAUGAAUACAAAAGUUACGAGGAAAAUGACCGAGGACAAAAAUAACGUGUUCUACAAGUAAAACAAAAUUACUUCAUCUGCUCAUUCUGUUUUUACUUCACCAAGACAAAGAAUGACUAAAGACUAAAGGGGUUUGCACUAAAGAUUAGUUAUCCAUCAGAAAAAUAUAUGAUCAAUAUCAAGAUAAUGAACAUGGAUGAAACUCAAGAAUGAUUUAAGAUAUUAGGGAAUGAUAACCGAAGGUUAAGGUAAAUAAAACAAAGAUAACUGAGGAGAGAAAGAAUGAGAGUGAAUAACAAAAAAAAAAAGAAGAACGGAUAAUCACCUUCAAUGUCUGAAGACUGAUGAGAACUAGCACACAAAUAAAAUCUGCAGAACUAGUGACUGAAUGACAAGUGAACUGACGGGGAUAUCUACAAAAUGUCUAUGAUUUCUUGCUUGUUCUCUGUGUUUUAUGUGUUUUUAGAGAGUUUGUUCACACUUUUUUCACUCAAUUUGGUUGCAGUGCGCCAACAAGCCCUUUGUAUCUAUAUUUCCGUGGAGUUUUCUCACUACUAGAACAUGGAAAAUGCAGCUAUCUAUCUCUAACAUUCAGUUUUCAUUAUUUUUUCCAGAGAAAAUGUUUCUGCAGCCGUAAAAGAUUUCUCUGGAAAAAAUGGAGAGUAUCUUGUUGCUUCCCUGAAUAAGUGAUAGUGCCUUGCUCUUUCCUGAAUAAAAGUAAUAGUACCUCGUUCUUUCCUGAAUAAUUAAGAGACACUCAAGACUGAGGGUUAUUUACUCAACAAAAGAAAGAAUAAACACCGGGUGUAUGCAGGAAACCAAAGACGGAGCAAACCUCUACUAAAAACAUGUUUGUAAUCAUCGCUCAGGAAUAAGAACACAUGCAUAUCACAAAACAAACUUGUGCCAUUGACAAAAGCUACUGACCAAAAAUCAGAGAAAAGAAACUGAAAUAACCGAAGAAAGGAAACUGAAGAAACUAAAGGGAGUAGGAAGAUAGACAUAUAAUGAAGGAUUGUCUGCUUAUUUAACUCAUGCUUGGCCCAAAAAGAGUAAAUAAAAGAAACUGAAAAGAUAACGAAGAAGAUAAUAUCAUCUGAAAGACUAAAUGAUGAGUAUAACUCUUGAAUGAUAGACAGAAUAGUGAUGUGUGCUCUCUGAACAUGGAUUGGUGAGUCAACUAUAAGAACAAUGACUGAUAAUAAUAAACAUUGAUAGACCAAUAGAGUAAGAACGCUCAUCUCAAGCUCAUUGCCGACCUUUGUCUUGCAUGUUACUAACACAUCCGCUCCAAUCUCAAGUCUUGUCCUCGUAAGAAACUUCUUCCAUCCAUUCUUGAAGAAGAUCAGACCAUCGGAUGCGGUAUUGUACUCGGUUCCAGUGAUGCUCUUUUUGCCCAAGCUUAAAUGAGUGAAGCAAUUACAGACUAAAAUAAGUGAAUCAACUACAAGACUGAUGUUGGGAUACUGAUCAACUAAAUUAAACAAGGCUGAAAUCAUAAUUCAAAUUGAUGAAAACUAAAACUGAACUAAAAGGUAAACUGUUGCGAUAGUUGAACUGAACUGAAUGUGAAAAAAUGAUCCAAUAAAAUGUACAUAGCUUAUAGAGAGAUAUGCGUGGGCAUGGGCGAGUGCUGAGUAAAAACUAUUGCCCAUAAAUGAACUGAAAAGUCGAAAAAUGAUGAACGGUUUGCCAAGAGUGAAAGUACUUGGCAUGGGCCGGUGAUGGUCGGCAGGCAUCCCUGUCAGACAUGAUGGUGGCAUGAAGGAUACAUUUUAGAAGGAAAAGAAGAUACCGGAAGAGUUGCGGCUGUCGGCGGUCUUCUUGGUGCUGACCCCAUGCAAAGUAAAUGAAUAAUACAGUACUGAAAUGACAAAUGUAGAUACACUGAAAACUGAUGGACCGAAGAAAAAUACACCAAAACACUGACAAAACUGAAUACUCACAAAGGAAAACACAAAAAGUGCUUUUAAUUGUAUGUUCCAGUUUUCCCAUCAACCAAUUGUAGGUUCCAGUUUACAAUUAUUAACUUACACGAAAACAAAGCGUGCUUUUAGUUUUUCACAUCAAAAAGAGCCGCACCUGCAGACCCACCAAAAGAGGCAGAAAGAUAGGGAGGUUACCCAUGAAAGCAUAGAUGCCACUCUCCUAAUCAUCUAAGGAUGAUCCAAAAACCGAAGAGAAGAUACCAGUGGUCAUACUGAAAAAAAAAGUAAAAGGUUUGAAAUAUUGAGAAAAACGAGUAACUAUAAUAGAAUGACUAACUAAAUAUGGGUUUUAGAGUGCAAACUAAGAAAAUAUAACUAAAUAAAAGACUGAACAAUGACUACUCAACUAAGCAAUACUGAAAACUUGAAAAUGAUACAAAAGUGAAAUAGAAAACUAAAAACUAAGAAAAAAUAUAUAUAAAUCCUAAAGACUAUUUGCAGUGCCAUCUUGGAACAUCUAAAAUGAGUAUCAAACACAUAACUGAAAACUAUAUUGAAUAUCAGUUCAAACGAUUAGUGAUAAAUCAAAUAUAUGACUGAAAACUAGAGUGAAUAUCUGAUCAAACUGAAUACCGAAGACGAUCUGCCAAACCCAAAAUGAGUAAAUCAACUACAUGAUUGAAAACUCGAACAAAACUGAAUACUGACAAACGACACACUGGAAACUGAAAAACUGAAGAAAAUGACACCUAACAAUGAUACUGACGAAACUGAAAAAAAUGACAUCUAACACUGAAACUACUGACGAAACUGAAUAAAAUGGCACUUAACAAUGAAACUACUGAAGAAACAAAUCUUCAUGUGAGGAAAACUGAGACUUGAGAGUUGAGACUAAGAAUAGGACUGAGUGGAACCAAUGAAUCACAAUGAAAUAAAGAUGACAUAUACUGAACAUAAAUACUAUAUGAUGGACUAAAAUAAUAAAUAAUCAGACUGAAUACUGAAGCGGUAAGGACUGAUCCAAAGAAGAACCAAGGACUGAUGAAAGGGUACUGAUAAGAACACAGAACAACACUGAAGAAUGAACAAUGACUUAAACUGAAGAGAGAGAAACUGUCGCAUCAGGAAGCUCACACGAGAUAAUAAAUGACUGGAAUAAAAAAUAACGAAACAUGACUGAUUUUACAAACAAAGAUGUAAUGAGAAAGACACUGAGAUACUGUAAAGACUAAGCUUUGACAGAUAAACAAUCAAGUAGUGAACAAUCAGGAAAGAUGGGAAACUGAGGACACUGAUUGACAAGUAAUCUAACGAAGACUGAUGAGUGAAUACUGAAGACUGAUAACUGGAACUGAGAAUUAGCUAACUGAGCGACACCGGCGGCGAGCUCUAUGACUAUCUACGCGUGUGGAUAGGUGCGUGGAAAAAAAUUCAGAGCGUUCUUGAUGAACUAAGCUAUCAAAAACUUUCCUGGCCAAAACAACCACCUAACUGAGCAACACCUGCGACGAGCUAAAUGACCGGCGAGUUGGCGACCAUGACGAUGCACUGAAUGAUAAACAGCAGGGACACAGGGGAAAUCACAUCGAGCAACACAUGGAAAAAUUGGGUAGAGAGAUAAAUAGCAGGGACACAGGGGAGAAAAUACCUUGCGCCAGAACGACGCCGGCGAUUACCACCUCCCCCACCAACAUGUGCUUGCUGGUAGCGAGCACGAUAGGAGAGCCCCGCUGAGCUCCUCUCCAGCGGCCGUCCCUGUGAAGAACACAUCCCGCAUUCAAGCGCACCUUGUCGCCAUCUUCGCCUAGCCGACCUGCCGCUAAUCACCGGCGAGGAGCCUCCUUCCCUCCGCCGUCUCCGCCACCCCUCCGCCAAUCCCCUCGUCAGCCAAGACAAAAACAGCCGCCCCCACCGACUGAAUAGAAAAUUCAAAGAAAAAAGAGACCCAGUACCUGUGAACCCGAAAAGCCAACGAUAAAAAGAACACGACAGGACGACCCGGAGGACAAACCAACGCGUAAAGAUUGGUGCAGAUCUGACGGACAGAAAAAUGAC
rnacentral:lncRNA from 1 species